rnacentral:rRNA from 1 species
CACGCCCUAAACGAUGUCAACUGGUUGUUGGACGGGCAACUGUUCAGUAACGAAGCUAACGCGUGAAGUUGACCGCCUGGGGAGUNACGCGAAAAACCUUACCUACCCUUGACAUGUCCGGAAUCCCGAAGAGAUUUGGGAGUGCUCGAAAGAGAGCCGGAACACAGGUGC